GGGUAACGUGUUUUGAGUUUGGAAUUCUUCAGGGGUAAAGUGUUUUGAGUUUGGAAUUCCUCAGGGGUAAAGGAUUUUGAGCUUGGAAUUCUUCAGGGGUAAAGUGUUUUGAGUUUGGAAUUCUUCAGGGGUAAUGUGUUUUGAGUUUGGAAUUCUUCAGGGGUAAAGUGUUUUGAGUUUGGAAUUCCUCAGGGGUAAAGGAUUUUGAGCUUGGAAUUCUUCAGGGGUAAAGGAUUUUGAGCUUGGAAUUCUUCAGGGGGGUAAAGUGUUUUGAGCUUGGAAUUCUUCAGGGGUAAAGUGUUUUGAGUUUGGAAUUCUUCAGGGGUAAAGGAUUCGAGCUUGGAAUUCUUCAGGGGUAAAGAGGUUUGAGAUUGAAAUUUUUCGGAGUUUGGAAUUCUUCAGGGGUAAAGUGUUUUGAGUUUGGAAUUCUUCAGGGGUAAAGGAUUUUGAGCUUGGAAUUCUUCAGGGGUAAAGUGUUUUGAGUUUGGAAUUCUUCAGGGGUAACGGAUUCGAGCUUGGAAUUCUUCAGGGGUAAAGAGGUUUGAGAUCGAAAUUUUUCAGAGUUUGGAAUUCUUCAGGGGUAAAGUGUUUUGAGUUUGGAAUUCUUCAGGGGUAGAGUGUUUUGAGCUUGGAAUUCUUCAGGGGUAAAGGAUUUUGAGCUUGGAAUUCUUCAGGGGUAUAACUAUGAAAAACAUGUAUCCUCGACAGGGGGGGUACGGAUAUUAAAUGGAAUAGCCCAUUUCAAAAG